GGCCUUCGGACUGGCCCAGGGAGGUCGGCAACGACCACCCAGGGCCGGGAAGUUCGUCAAACUUGGUCAUUUAGAGGAAGUAAAAGUCGUAACAAGGUCUCCGUAGGUGAACCUGCGGAGGGAUCAUU
rnacentral:rRNA from 2 species